rnacentral:rRNA from 1 species
GCCUCUUGGACUGGGACAACUGUUGGAAACGACAGCUAAUACCGGAUAUUAUGAGAUUCUCGCAUGAGAAACUUAUGAAAGCUAUAUGCGCCAAGAGAGAGCCUUGCGUUCCAUUAGCUAGUUGGUGGGGUAACGGCCCACCAAGGCGACGAUGGAUAGCCGGCCUGAGAGGGUGAACGGCCACAAGGGGACUGAGACACGGCCCUUACUCCUACGGGAGGCAGCAGUGGGGAAUAUUGGACAAUGGGCCACAAGCCUGAUCCAGCAAUUCUGUGUGCACGAUGAAGGUCUUCGGAUUGUAAAGUGCUUUCAGUUGGGAAGAAGAAAGUGACGGUACCAACAGAAGAAGCGACGGCUAAAUACGUGCCAGCAGCCGCGGUAAUACGUAUGUCGCAAGCGUUAUCCGGAUUUAUUGGGCGUAAAGCGCGUCUAGGCGGAAAAAUAAGUCUGAUGUUAAAAUGCGGGGCUCAACUCCGUAUUGCGUUGGAAACUGUUUUUCUAGAGUACUGGAGAGGUGGGCGGAACUACAAGUGUAGAGGUGAAAUUCGUA